AUUGAACGCUGGCGGCAGGCCUAACACAUGCAAGUCGAACGGUAGCACAGAGAGCUUGCUCUCGGGUGACGAGUGGCGGACGGGUGAGUAACGUCUGGGAAACUGCCCGAUGGAGGGGGAUAACUACUGGAAACGGUAGCUAAUACCCCAUAACGUCGCAAGACCAAAGUGGGGGACCUUCGGGCCUCACACCAUCGGAUGUGCCCAGAUGGGGUUAGCUAGUAGGUGGGGUAAUGGCCCACCUAGGCGACGAUCCCUAGCUGGUCUGAGAGGAUGACCAGCCCAACUGGAACUGAGACACGGUCCAGGCUCCGACGGGAGGCAGCAGUGGGGAAUAUUGCACAAUGGGCGCAAGCCUGAUGCAGCCAUGCCGCGUGUAUGAAGAAGGCCUUCGGGUUGUAAAGUACUUUCAGCGGGGAGGAAGGCGGUGAAGUUAAUAGCUUCACCGAUUGACGUUACCCGCAGAAGAAGCACCGGCUAACUCCGUGCCAGCCGCCGCCGUAA
rnacentral:rRNA from 1 species